rnacentral:rRNA from 1 species
AGUGAACGCUGGCGGUAGGCCUAACACAUGCAAGUCGAACGGCAGCACAGUAAGAGCUUGCUCUUACGGGUGGCGAGUGGCGGACGGGUGAGGAAUACAUCGGAAUCUACUUUUUCGUGGGGGAUAACGUAGGGAAACUUACGCUAAUACCGCAUACGACCUACGGGUGAAAGCAGGGGAUCUUCGGACCUCGCGCGAUUGAAUGAGCCGAUGUCGGAUUAGCUAGUUGGCGGGGUAAAGGCCCACCAAGGCGACGAUCCGUAGCUGGUCUGAGAGGAUGAUCAGCCACACUGGAACUGAGACACGGUCCAGACUCCUACGGGAGGCAGCAGUGGGGAAUAUUGGACAAUGGGCGCAAGCCUGAUCCAGCCAUACCGCGUGGGUGAAGAAGGCCUUCGGGUUGUAAAGCCCUUUUGUUGGGAAAGAAAAGCAGCAGGUUAAUACCCCGCUGUUCUGACGGUACCCAAAGAAUAAGCACCGGCGAACUUCGU